ensembl:rRNA 5S_rRNA 5S ribosomal RNA
UAACAUCUCAGGACUGGCAUGUGGUGCUGUGAUCACAUCUGAUCUCUCAAGCUUAAGUAUGAUCAGUCUGUGCCAGUACUUGGAUGAGAGAACUGCAAAUAAGAAGUGGUGUUGG